CCUACGGGCCGCACCAGUAGGGAAUCUUCGGCAAUGGACGAAAGUCUGACCGAGCAACGCCGCGUGAGUGAAGAAGGUUUUCGGAUCGUAAAACUCUGUUGUUAGAGUAGAACAAGGACGUUAGUAACUGAACGUCCCCUGACGGUAUCUAUCCAGAAAGCCACGGCUAACUACGUGCCAGCAGCCGCGGUAAUACGUAGGUGGCAAGCGUUGUCCGGAUUUAUUGGGCGUAAAGCGAGCGCAGGCGGUUUCUUAAGUCUGAUGUGAAAGCCCCCGGCUCAACCGGGGAGGGUCAUUGGAAACUGGGAGUCUUGAGUACAGAAGAGGAGAGUGGAAUUCCAUGUGUAGCGGUGGAAUGCGUAGAUAUAUGGAGGAACACCAGUGGCGAAGGCGGCUCUCUGGUCUGUAACUGACGCUGAGGCUCGAAAGCGUGGGGAGCAAACAGGAUUAGAUACCCUUGUAGUC
rnacentral:rRNA from 1 species